CUGUAUACUCAGUGUAAAAAUACUGUUCAAUCUACAGUAAAUUUUGGUGAGUCCCUCUAUUUUGUCCGUUUGUGGAAGACUAAACGAUGCGUUUGGCCAAAGGGUGUAGAACUCUCUUUUGUUUCUGGAACUCUCCGUAGUUCGUAUAUGUUCUCUCUCUCUGGAACUCUCUGUGACUCUUCUCUCUCUCUUAUCUUCUUCUCCUUCUUUCUAAUAAACGUAUUUUUUUCUUUUUUCUUUUCCUCCCAAACCACCGAUUUGUACUGUGAUUCAACUCCUUCACAACCCAGCCUCAGCACCGAUCUCUCUCUACAAAUCCAGAUCAACAAAAAAAUUUGAAACCCAAGAACAUUUGCAGCUGAUCUGCAUGAGAGAAGAGCCAGGAAAAAAAAAUGGAGCUCAAAGCCUCAAACGUUGUUUGUGAUCUCGAUUUGUUGGUUGGUGGAUGUGCGAGAGAUAGACGAUUGCAGGUGUUCUUAUUUGCAAUUAUCUCUGCGCGUGAGAUUGAAAGUUUGGAUUUUUACUCAGAUUAGAUAAUUCUUGUAUGUUAAUAUUUGCUAUUAGGUGUUCUUUUGUCAUAUCCGUAAGUUUAAAUAACAACAUCGCCUUCUGAACUUUGAAAUAACAAGCAAGCAAGAAGGCCAAGCAAGUCGGUGAGAAAAUAUCUCUGCUGGGUGAGCCAGUAAAUGGGUGAGACAAAAUUGAAAAGAUAGACCUGAGAGAGAAAAAAUAGAGUGAUUUAGUGAGAUGAAUGCGUGUGGCAGUGGGAUUUUUACAUAAUUAGUGAGGCUUGGCACUGAGACAGAGGGAGAGAGGACUGGGGAUUUGUAAUGAAAAUGGAUGAUUGAGAUUUGAGAUAAUUGGAGCAAAGUAGAGAGGGUGGCUUUUGUGUUUUCUCUCAACUGGUAUUUUCUCUCUAAAUUUAUCUAUGGUUUGAUUGUCCUUUAAAGUAGCUUUGGAGUCUAGAGGUGGAGCCUCCUUCAUCAAUUCAGAGAAGUCACAUGGAGAAUAGUAGAUAUCCCUUUAUUAUUGUUGUCCUUAAGGUUUUGUUAUAUUAACUUCAUAUUACUUGUUAGACUUUUCUUAGUUUCAAUUAACAGCUAUUGGCUUUGGUAUUUGCAAUCUGUAGGCCUUUCGUAUAUACCUGGAUAAACUUUUCAAUCAGUAUGUCGUAAUUGUUCGCUCCUAAACUUCCGUUCUGGCUUUGGGGGAGGUCAUUCUACAAGCAAUAUGCACAAGAUAUGGACUUACUAUCGGGGCCAAGUUCAUAUGGAUUGAUUAAACAUCAGUCCAUGCUUUGUCUUCAAAAAGGUAGAGAAUCACAUUGUUGGAGCUCCAUGUGGUGUGAUGGGCCAGAUAACUUAAGCAUGUGGUGAAGCCAACAAACUUCUUGCAGUUAUGUUCUAGCCUGCUGAGAUAUAUCAAAUUGCUUUCUUAGCUAGACAUGAUGACCACAGCCCAGUGCUUUUGUUGGUGCUGAUUAACAUCAUAAGUGCUUUCUCUAAGUAGCGAUAACUUAGACUCAUAUUCCAUGUUAAUGGUACUGUUGGAGCAAAGUAGAGAGGGUGGCUUUCGUGUUUUCUCUCAACAGGGGUAUUAUAAUGCAGCACCAUGAAGAGUUGCCCAGCAAGAAAGCAUGUUGAGAGAUGCCAAGAAGAGUUAGGCCUUUUGUGUGUGUAAUGUGAGUUAAUUAAUAGUAUUGAACCAAUAAGUAAUUUCCCCCUUCCCCAUGUAGUAUAAAGUUUCCCAAAAAAAUAAAUUUAUCAAGAUUACUAUCUAUCCAGAAAUGAGAACUUCAUGGAUAUCCUUUAUUAAAGGGGGAAAAAACACUCCAAAAAUUCUACUGCCAACUUUUCAAAUACAAUUAAAUUUGAAUUAUGGUUUGUUAUAAA